CUGUGGUCUUUCAAGAAACGAUAUUAGUCAUAUUCUUGGACAACUGAAAGGACAGUUCUUAGCAGAAAGACUUGUUUCCUCAGUGGGAUUUGUAGUAGGAACGUUGAGUCUCCCAAAGGCUUAUGUGAGCAGGCUUCGUGUUGCCUGAAUUUGAAAUUCAGCAGUGAAAUUCCCUUUUCAUAGAGGGGCAAAGUGAUUUGGUUACUUUUUAAUGCGCAGAACAACACAGCACAAUAGUUAACGGAGAUGGAACCUACAUUGUGCUUCCUCUUGGAAGAUCACUCAAGAUAAAUGCUAUUCAUUUGGUGAUCCAGUUUUUAAAGAAUUACAGUGUGAGCAAAUGGGACAAAGAAUGUGCAGGGAAUCUGAAAAUGAGAUAGUCCACCGCUUCUGCAGAACUGUCUGAAUAGGAGCGAUAAGAGAAAGGAAUGGGAUACCUGCCUGUAUUCAAUU